UACGUAGGGGGCAAGCGUUGUCCGGAAUCAUUGGGCGUAAAGCGCGUGUAGGCGGCCCGGUAAGUCCGCUGUGAAAGUCGGGGGCUCAACCCUCGAAUGCCGGUGGAUACUGUCGGGCUAGAGUGCGGGAGAGGCGAGUGGAAUUCCUGGUGUAGCGGUGAAAUGCGCAGAUAUCGUAAGGAAGACCAGUGGCGAAGGCGAAUCUCUGGACAGCUACUGACACUGAGGCUCGAAGGCCAGGGGAGCAAACGGG
rnacentral:rRNA from 1 species